rnacentral:lncRNA from 1 species
GGCUACUGGGCUGCGGAGACCAGAGCCCGGCUCCACUGAAGAAACCCGCCGGCUGCUGGGGCAGGGCGGCGAAAGGUCAGUCGGCCGAGAGGAGUCCGUGGAGCCACCGUUUCAUAGCCUCAGGGAAAGGAUCGGGCGUGCUCACGAGCCCUCUAACCCAUGGCUUAAACACCCGCUUCCUAAGCCUGGUUCCUGAAUAUAUCACAUGUGGUGAUAAACAUGAAGAUGUAUGAAAAAUUGUGUUCGUUGAGAGAAAAUGGAAGGCUUUUCAUUCUACUUCCACAUUUUCAUUCCAGCAGCUUUUCUGUUUUGGAAGAUGAGUACUGAAUCUUGCAAUGAAAUUUUUUUAACUUAAACAAGGUUCUUAUGCCUUUGUUUGAAAAACAUGGUUCCCUGUGAAAUUUUACAUGUAGAAGAAAGCUUCACACUACGAGAGCUCUCAGGAUAUAAUUAUUUCAGACAGAUACUGGGAACAUAAGAUGGCUUAUCAAUCUAAGAUGGCCUUCCUGUCCUUCGGAUUGAACUGAAACCAUCCCUGAUUCCAGGGAUAGGUAGAUGAUCCAGGUUUGGACAAUCAAAAUAUUGAACCACCCUGGACCUACAAGUGUUUCUGGGAUGGGAACAUGCAAACGUUGGUCCAAAUUGUUGUUCUAGGCAGCCCAGUACAUUUCUCCAAUGCCUGCCUCUCAAGCACUGUGAAAAAUCACUUUCUCUUGUUGUAUUCUUGGAGCCCCUGCUAAUUCAUUAUUGAAAAAUACCUGCUGCCUGCAUUUGGCCUUAUGUUGUCAUUUACUUGGUACUUCCUAAGCGUGGCUACUCCAAUGAAGCUUUAGUAUAUGUACUGAAAGAAGAUCCUCUCAUACUGCCACAGCCAAGAGAUAAGGUUGUAAAUCUUUAUUGGGAGAAGCCGUCAAGGACAGUUCUGUGAAAUGAAAGGAUCUCUGGAUCACCACAAAGUCUGGCUCAGUGACUAUGGCUUUGCAAACACUAAACAUUCCUGUCUCAAGUCCUGUAGAUGGCUUGAAAUAGUAUACAUAAGCAUGCCUUAUAAACAUCUUCAGUCUUUAUCAACUCUUUGGAGAUUCAGCCAUUCUUUUUUGUACUUUAGGGAAUUAAAUCAUUUUAUAAUGUAUAAAUCUGAGCAUGGCCGAUGGCAGAAGAAAUUUUGUCAUACGUUUUUAAAGAAAUAAAAAUGUAUUAUGUUUUAAAAU